UACCGAACACGGAAGUUAAGCUCUCUAGCGCCGAUGGUAGUUGGGACCUUGUCCCUGUGAGAGUAGGACGUCGCCAAGCA
rnacentral:rRNA from 1 species